AUCCAGAUUACGAGUCCCGAAUAGGACGAAAGGCGCGUCAAACUGGAU
rfam:Schistosoma mansoni strain Puerto Rico chromosome 4, complete genome